AUUUAUACGAGAAAUUGGUUAUACUAAACAUUACAGAUCAAUUAUAGUUUUCACUUAUGGUUUAAUAACAAGUCAAGGGGAGGGGGGUGGCACUGAAGAGAAAUGUUUUUUGUGGCAAAAAUUUUGCUGACCCAACCAUUAAAAAGUAAAAAAAAAUGAUUACCCAAACUCAAAUAUCAAUUAAAAAAUAAAUACCCACCCCUUGCCAAAAAUGUUACAAAUGGUUACAAUUCAGUUUCACACAUGUCCUUUACCACUUCUGUGACAUGAGUUUGAUAACAGCUUGUGAUAUUUUCUGCAGUCUAAAGUUUCAUGUUGUCUGCACAUGUACUUUCUUUGGAGACACCAUUUGCCUCCCAACAAAUGGGGAAAUUAUCAAGAUAUAGUGACUCUGAUUGAUUCACAUAUUGUAUUGACAUAUGACUGUUGACAUCUUGCCAUAUUUGACAUAUUGCCAUAUUGAUGACUGUUGCUUCUCAGUCUCCAAUAUUUCAGUGAGUCAUGCUUUGGAAAUGACAAUAAAUUUUUAUCACCCAACCCAUGAGUUUUCUUUUUCAUUUACUCAACCUUUUACUCACUCAAAAUUUUGUUCACCCAACCCUUUUCUCUUCGGUGCCACCCCCGCCAGAAAUAAUGACCGCUCCCUUAGACAAGUAAAAAAAUAAAAAGUGCACACUAGGGCACAUUGCAGCUUAAUGGGUUAACUAUUUUUUGGUUAACCCAUUAAGUUGCAGAGCUUCACGUGCUAUCCCCAUUGACGAGUUAAAUCGUCUGGUGUUAGACAAGUAAAAAAAUAAGUAGGGUGCACUCAGGGACGUACACAACCGGGGGCGGGGGUCACUCCCCCCCCAGAGAAAACAAUUUACGAUUUUUAGAAUGUCAUUGUUAAUUAUUCUUUGGAUAUUUGGGACUUUUUCGGCAUAUAGGCCUUACUGCACCUCUGGUGAAAAAAUCCUGUGUACGCCUGGUGUUUCUGUUUUUGACUAUUGUUCUUGUUUGCUUUCUGCACUUUGCAACACUUUACAGUGUUGUUUUUG